rnacentral:piRNA from 1 species
UGGCAGCUGGAGAAGUUCUGGUGUUGA